rnacentral:lncRNA from 1 species
AUAUUACACACAAGCUCACGUUGGUCGGCCAUCCACUGUCAAAUGGCGAGGUGGAAGUAACCAAUCGGACAAUCCUACAUGGGCUAAAAAUUUGACUGAAUGAAGUCAAAAGCCUCUGGGUAGAAGAAUUAUAUCUGAUCUUAUGAGCAUAUCGAACGACUCCCCGCAUACCGACUGGAGAAUUCUCCUUCAACUUAGCUUAUAGGACAGAAGCAAUGAUACUGCUUGA